rnacentral:rRNA from 1 species
GCUGGCGGCAUGGCUAAGACAUGCAAGUCGAACGAUUAAAGCUUCUUCGGAAGUGCAUAAAGUGGCGUAAGGGCGAGGAAUACAUUUCUAUGUACCCCAAGGUCGAGGAUAGCCCAGAGAAAUUUGGUGUAAUACUCGAUGUGGUCUCCGGAUCAAAGGCUUCGGUCGCCUUGGGAGCAGGGAAUGUCCUAUCAGGUAGUUGGUGAGGUAACGGCUCACCAAGCCAAAGACGGGUAGCGGGUGUGAGAGCAUGACCCGCCGCAUCGGAACUGAGACACUGUCCGGACUCCUACGGGAGGCUGCAGUAACGAAUAUUCCGCAAUGAGCGAAAGCUUGACGGAGCAAUGCCGCGUGUAGGAUGAAUCCUUUCGGAGUGUAAACUACUGUCAGAGACUAGGAACUCAAUGACCAAUCUCAAAGGAAGGGCCGGCUAACUUCGUGCCAGCAGCCGCGGUAAUACGAAGGGCCCGAGCGUUAUUCGGAAUCACUGGGCUUAAAGCGUGCGUAGGCGGACUUGUAGGCGUUUUGUGAAAUCCCUCGGCUCAACCGAGGAACUGCAGAGCGAACCAUAAGUCUUGAGACAGACAGAGGUCGUCGGAACGAUUGGUGGAGUGGUGAAAUGCGUUGAUAUCAAUCGGAACGCCGAAGGAGAAGUCAGGCGACUGGGUCUGUUCUGACGCUGAGGUACGAAAGCGUGGGUAGCGAACGGGAUUAGAUACCCCGGUAGUCCACGCCGUAAACAAUGUGCACUAGGUCGAGGGCGUUCUGACGCGACUCUCGGCCGAAGCGAAAGUGUUAAGUGCACCGCCUGGGGAGUACGGUCGCAAGGCUAAAACUCAAAGGAAUUGACGGGGGCUCACACAAGCGGUGGAGCAUGUGGCUUAAUUCGAAGCAACGCGAAGAACCUUAUCCUAGGUUUGACAUACACGGAUUAGCUAUAAGAAACUAUAGUGACACCUUCGGGUGGAGCGUGAACAGGUGCUGCAUGGCUGUCGUCAGCUCGUGCUGUGAAGUGUCGG